GCUGGGCACGGUGGUGCAUACCUGUAAUCUCAGUCUCAGUAGGGAGGCUGAGGCAGGAGGAUUGCAAGUUCAAAGCCAACCUCAGCACUAAGCAACUUAGCAAGACCCUGUCUCUA
rnacentral:sRNA from 1 species